GCCCGGGUGGUGGAAUCUGGUAGACACUAGGGACUUAAAAUCCCUUGGGAGUAAAAUCCCGUGCCGGUUCAAAUCCGGCCCCGGGCA
rnacentral:tRNA from 1 species